GUUUUGUUGUACUUUUUUUUGUUUUUUUUGUUUUUUUGUUUUUUU
rnacentral:ribozyme from 12 species